GAUUUACUUUUUUCUUCCUUUCGCUUCUUCACUUAGUUCAUUCCUUAGCUUUCAAAUUGACUUCUUGACCGCUCUUGCAGAUUGGACACCAGCUCAUCGCCAACAUCGAGGCGAUAAAAAAUGCAAAGAAGGAAGCAGCCCAGGCGGAGGAAGGUCACCAGGCUGAGGCUGCCCAUCGUAAGGAGAAGGUCGCCGAAGUCACGAGUCUCCAAGAGGC
rnacentral:lncRNA from 1 species